CACACUCUCAUUAUCAUUUAUUUAAAGGGCAGUCUGGCAGACAGGCCAUGUUGGCUGGCCACUGUGGCUCUUAUUUGCUGCAAUGUCCGAGGUAAUGCCUCUGAGGUGUUCAGAAUGCUCCAUCUUUUGAAAACUCAUACCAAGACCCAACGUCUCUCCAGGGGCAUCUCCAUGGAACCAUUACUUCUUUUCUGAAGACUCAAACUGUUCCUUCAACAGGAAUGCUCAGCCAAUAAAAACCAAACUUUUCCUCCACACCACACCUAAUGCUUUCCUUUUUGACAGACUCUAGAAUCAUGUGCCUUUUACCUAAUCUGGUUAAUUAUUUGUUGACCUUCCUCCUAUGGCCCUGAACAAUCCUAGAGGCUCCUCCCUUCUUCCAGAAGUCAAGUCUCUCUGGCCAGAACCUGGAGCCUGACUGCCAGAGGUUGCAACUACUCUCCACAUAUGGAUGGGUCCAGUAUCCAUGCCAUCCUACUCUUCAAGGAAGCACAUCAACUAUGAACUCUGACUUUUUCACACCUUUCUUCAUUCUUACAAUAAGUUUUCCUCUAGAGGAUUUUAGAAUUGGCAGACAAAGAACACAGCCAGGGGAACUCUCCCUGGGCCUCUCCUGUCACCGUGAGAGAUCUUUUAGAAUUACCUGGUCGGCCUGCUCCGUGAAUGAAUCUGUCAUCUUAACAACCACGCUGGCACUGGCCUCCUCGUUCUCCACCACAUCGAUGCUGGCAACCCACUAGAGCAAGAACAACAGCUCUGGUCAAGAGUUGGUGGGUUGUGACUUCUCUAAGGAGCAACCCCCAGAAAUGGGAGCAAAGAAAAAGUGAAGAGACUUAAACUGACACACAUGGAACCAGAAAUGUUUCCAGUUUGCAACAUGGGAUUCUAAACUAUUUGAAUAUACUUAUCUUGGGGAUGGGACUGAAGUUUAAACACAAAACUCACGUUUAGUAUACUUUGUAUACUCAGUCUAAAAGUAAUUUUACAAAGCACUUUUAAAUUAAAUCUUGAACCGGGUUCAUGGCAUGAAACUUCCCAUGUAGGGCAUCAUAUAGCUCUUUAAAAGCUCAGGAUUUAGAAGCAUUUCAGAUCUUUGGAUAUUUACCAUGUAAACAAAACCCACUAGAGAAAGGUAGCAACAACUGACCUCCCAGACAUCCUUGAGGGACCACUGACUGCAGUUGGUCCACUGUCUUCCACACUGCACCCCAACUCUGAACACCAUCCUUCCCCCUCCCUGCUGGAUUCGGAAGGCCAAACCUUCCAUGUAUCUAAAGACACCUGAGGUCACUCUGUGAUCUCUGCCACCAAUACGUAAACUUGCUAGCCCAGGAGACAGCUACAAAUAAUAUGGAGUUAGAGGGGCAGGGAUGGACCAUCCUGAAAAUGACAGAUGCUGAAAUAUAAACUAUAUGUGCCA